rnacentral:rRNA from 1 species
AUUGAACGCUGGCGGCAUGCCUUACACAUGCAAGUCGAACGGUAACAGGUCUUCGGAUGCUGACGAGUGGCAAACGGGUGAGUAAUACAUCGGAACGUGCCUAGUAGUGGGGGAUAACUACUCGAAAGAGUGGCUAAUACCGCAUGAGAUCUACGGAUGAAAGCAGGGGAUCGCAAGACCUUGUGCUACUAGAGCGGCCGAUGGCAGAUUAGGUAGUUGGUGGGAUAAAAGCUCACCAAGCCGACGAUCUGUAGCUGGUCUGAGAGGACGAUCAGCCACAGUGGGACUGAGACACGGCCCAGACUCCUACGGGAGGCAGCAGUGGGGAAUUUUGGACAGUGGGCGCAAGCCUGAUCCAGCAAUGCCGCGUGCAGGAUGAAGGCCUUCGGGUUGUAAACUGCUUUUGUACGGAACGAAAAGCCCUGGGUUAAUACCCUGGGGUCAUGACGGUACCGUAAGAAUAAGCACCGGCUAACUACGUGCCAGCAGCCGCCGUAA